rnacentral:snoRNA from 1 species
ACGACCUUACUUGAACAGGAUCUGUUCUAUAGGCUCGUACCAUUGUAUCCUUUGAGUUCUAAGGAGACUGAAAACCAAGUCUGGCUGAUGAAAUGUGGCCAUGAGACCAGAGCGUGAUUAACAGCUUUGGUUGGUGGCCCUUGGGCAUCGGCGCAGUAGAGGAUCGUUCUCAGGCCUCUCGCAGGUCUGGGGUGGUCUCUUGGCUCUCUGACAGACU